UAGGGAAUCUUCCACAAUGGACGCAAGUCUGAUGGAGCAACGCCGCGUGAGUGAAGAAGGUGUUCGGAUCGUAAAGCUCUGUUGUUGGUGAAGAAGGAUAGAGGCAGUAACUGGUCUUUAUUUGACGGUAAUCAACCAGAAAGUCACGGCUAACUACGUGCCAGCAGCCGCGGUAAUACGUAGGUGGCAAGCGUCGUCCGGAUUUAUUGGGCGUAAAGCGAGCGCAGGCGGAAUGAUAAGUCUGAUGUGAAAGCCCACGGCUCAACCGUGGAGCUGCGUCGGAAACUGUCAUUCUUGAGUGCAGAAGAGGAGAGUGGAAUUCCAUGUGUAGCGGUGGAAUGCGUAGAUAUAUGGAAGAACACCAGUGGCGAAGGCGGCUCUCUGGUCUGCAACUGACGCUGAGGCUCGAAAGCAUGGGUAGCGAACAGG
rnacentral:rRNA from 1 species